GACGAACGCUGGCGGCGUGCCUAAUACAUGCAAGUCGAACGAGAGCGACCGGUGCUUGCCCUGGUCAAUCUAGUGGCGAACGGGUGAGUACACGUGGGUAACCUGCCCAUCAGAGGGGGAUAACAUUCGGAAACGGAUGCUAAAACCGCAUAGGUCUUCGAACCGCAUGGUUUGAAGAGGAAAAGAGGCGCAAGCUUCUGCUGAUGGAUGGACCCGCGGUGCAUUAGCUAGUUGGUGAGGUAACGGCUCACCAAGGCCGUGAUGCAUAGCCGACCUGAGAGGGUGAUCGGCCACAUUGGGACUGAGACACGGCCCAAACUCCUACGGGAGGCAGCAGUAGGGAAUCUUCCGCAAUGGACGCAAGUCUGACGGAGCAACGCCGCGUGAGUGAAGAAGGUUUUCGGAUCGUAAAACUCUGUUGUUAGAGAAGAACAAGUGCUAGAGUAACUGUUAGCGCCUUGACGGUAUCUAACCAGAAAGCCACGGCUAACUACGU
rnacentral:rRNA from 1 species